rnacentral:lncRNA from 1 species
CACAGCCUGAGCUCAGCCUGUGGGAAUGUGGGCAGCCACUCUGCAUGCCUGCCCAGGGAGCUGUGCCAGCUCACCUCCACCCUGACCUCACACAGCCCCUGUUAUUCCAGCUCUGAGUCCAGCUCCAAGAAGCAGCUUUGUCCUCAGGAGCAAGGUUUGUUUUGAUGGCAGGAUGAUUAAUGUGCCUCAGCUCCACAGCUGUAAAAUCCCUGGGGAGAUGGAGCAUGGCUAAUUUAUACUGUGCCACAGCCAGGUGAGCACAGCACCAGGUCCCUACUCAGGCAUGACCAUGCUCAGGCUCAGUAUUUACCUGACUGUAAAAACUACAGGUGCUUUCCUCAUCUUAUAGUGCCAAAGCUGGUAUCCACUAACCAUCCCACUUGAAAAAAUACCACCCAGCUCCCUAGAGAGGCCACAGUGAGAAGCCAUCAGCUCUAGCAAACGUUUUCUAUGGGAUCAAGGAAAUUGCAGUCACUUUCCUUACACUGGGACUUGAGGCAGCAUUGAAGGAGCAAGCCCUGUCUUCUGCUGUCCUGCAGAGGCAGGUCAGCCCUGGUUUGCCAGCUGGACUGGACUGCAGAAGUGACAGAGAGGGGAGCAAAGGCUGGGGAGAUUUACAAAUCUGCUCUAUACAUUGCAACAGACCUCAUGCAAAGUCAACAUGGCCUUGCAUCAUCAAGCACAGGCUGGAGCCAGGAAAGAGCUCAGCUGGAGAAGCCACAGAAUGAGGAGAGAACAAGCCUGUUCAGUGUCCCUGGGAUCAUAACACCUCCCCUGCCCUGACGACCUGCCUGCUUUGCCUGGAGGGCUGGAAAUUGCAGAGCUGCUGGUGGCUGAUGAGAAAUGAUUUAAAGAAGCAUUGCUGAGAACCCUGCAGAGAGCAAACCACAGCCCUGCACUGCUCCCCACGGGGCACAGCUGAAAUUUGGGAAGAUUCUGUCUCACUAAGGGACAUGUCCUUCAGGCUCAGGACAGGUGGGGUGUUUGUCCUUCAGCAAGCCCAGGCUGCUGCUGUCUGCUCUUUUGGAAGGAAAAAGGGUAGGUUUUCUCUUUUUGAGGAAACAAGUGUGUGACUUACAUCAAAUCUGUGCUUAAAAUGCUCCUGAAACAGGAAUGCAGAGAAUGGGAAAGAAAUCACCUGUAAAAAGCACUAUUAAUAUGCCUCCAUCAAGUAUUGUCUUUUUUUGGUUGUUGUUGUUUUUGGGGAGGGUGUG